UACGGAGGGUGCAAGCGUUGUCCGGAAUCACUGGGCGUAAAGGGCGCGUAGGCGGCUCAUGAAGGCUGUGGUGAAAGUCCGGGGCUCAACCUCGGAUCGGCCGUGGCGACUCGUGGGCUGGAGCACUGUAGAGGCGGGUGGAACUCCGGGAGUAGCGGUGAAAUGCGUAGAGACCCGGAGGAACACCGGUGGCGAAGGCGGCUUCCUGGUCUGCAACUGACGCUGUGGCGCGAAAGCUAGGGGAGCAAACGGGAGU
rnacentral:rRNA from 1 species